rnacentral:rRNA from 1 species
GACGAACGCUGGCGGCGUGCUUAACACAUGCAAGUCGAACGGAAAGGCCUCUUUCGGGGGGUACUCGAGUGGCGAACGGGUGAGUAACACCUGAGUAACCUGCCCUUGACUUUGGGAUAACUUCAGGAAACUGGGGCUAAUACCGGAUAGGAGCUCCUGCUGCAUGGUGGGGGUUGGAAAGUUUCGGCGGUUGGGGAUGGACUCGCGGCUUAUCAGCUUGUUGGUGGGGUAGUGGCUUACCAAGGCUUUGACGGGUAGCCGGCCUGAGAGGGUGACCGGCCACAUUGGGACUGAGAUACGGCCCAGACUCCUACGGGAGGCAGCAGUGGGGAAUAUUGCACAAUGGGUGGAAGCCUGAUGCAGCAACGCCGUGUGCGGGAUGACGGCCUUCGGGUUGUAAACCGCUUUCGCUCAUGACGAAGCUUUGUGUGACGGUAGUGGGUAAAGAAGCACCGGCUAACUACGUG